rnacentral:lncRNA from 1 species
UCCACCUUAUCUCUUUCAUCUUGCUCUUAUCUUCACAUACAGCUGCCCCCAACCCAUUUCUUUUAAUUUCUACUUUUUCCUUCGUCCUGUGGAAGACCUCAGCACCCCACGAUCUCUCUCUCCUUCGUCAAUUUCCCCGCAGCUCUUGUUCUCCGUCCAUUCUCCAUCGAAGACACCAGUAGGAGUAGCAUCAAAGCUGCUUCUUCUUUGCAGCUCAUCCUCAUAUCCCGCUCGGUCAACAUCUCUCGCCCGUGAAGCCACCGUCAGCCAUCUCCACUCUUGGUCAAAACCCCCUUGACGAAGCCCUCAAUUGGAGACGCCAGCAACUGAUUUCCUUCUGCUUCACCGAUCCAUGCGUCUUCACCAUCUCCUGCAGCUUCACUCACCGAAGCAAGUGCACCGGGAUCUCCAUCCAUUGGUCAACACUGCAGCAUCCUCAACGUCCACCGGAUUUAUCUGCCACGUCCAACGAUCCACCAAGCGGAGUAGCAUCACCGUCAACUGAAGCAAACAGAAAUCCAACGAGCUUCACGUCUCUGUCGCAGCAAGCUAGUUCGGUGUUUCAGUGGCCCAACAAGUUUGAGCCCACCUCCAUCAGCUCAGCCCAUUUUCGGCAAGUGAAGUCCAGAAAUUCCAGCCCACGAGCCAACAAUUUCAGCCCAUGGAUUCCAUCAAUUUUGGCCCAAUAGCUGGGCCUGUUUUCAGCCUUGGUUCAGCCCAGUUUCGGGCCCAGUUCAGCAGCCCACGUUAUUCUUGAACUGCCCAGUCGGGUCCUUUCUUCAACCCAUCAAGUCCAGUGAAGCCCAUUUCCAAAGCAGCUGUUCGGCCCAGCUCUUUGAAGCCUGCAAAGCAGCCCAGGCCCAAGUCCAAGCCCAGUAUUUUCUGUGGGCUUGCAAGGCUUGUAGGCCUGUUCUGAGUAUCCGCUGACGCCGCCGAAAGUUUGGAUUUCGGCCAUUGUCACGCCGUCAUUGCGGUGUUCCGGUCUUCGCUUUGCCAAGUGAGUUUUGCUCACUAAUGCCUUAUUAGUUUUCUAAUUAUGCUUAGGGGUUGAUUAGAUUUAAUUAAGUGCAAGGUGGUUAUAUUAGAGUAGAUUAGUGAUUAUUAGAUAAUUGUGAUGCAUGUUAGGUAAUUUGAUUGUGCAAUUAGCAAGUAGAGAUGUGCUAAUAUUUAUUGAAUACAUAUUGGGAAUUUUCCCGACCCUUAUCGGCUUCCAAUUAGGCAUUACGAGCCUAAAUUGGCAGAAUCAGACAUUAUUUAUAGUAAAAAUAAACAUGCCCUUUUGGACGUCACUAUGCAGCCGUAUUUCUUUGUGCGGUUUUGUUUUGAGGAAACCCUCUGGCGGCUUUUUCAUGAGAUGUGCGGCUAGGGAAAAGAACCCAAAAACACAAAAUUCUUCUUUGUACUUUUUUUUUACUCUAAUUAUCAUGGGCCCCAUUUGCUUUCUUUUUUGGGGACGAAAGCAAGUCCAGCAAAGAAGCUUUUUCUGAGCAAUCAUCCAAUACACGUCUUCUUAGGAUUAAUAGAUAAUGCCACAGUAAAGAUUCUUCAACACUAAAAAUGGCUUCGAUUAAUAAUUCAAUUCAAGUUAGGUUUAGCACGCGAGCUCAAACUUGAGAUAUUAUUUAAUAAUAUGAGAUCAAAGGGCUUGACCAAUACUUGAUCCAAAAAUAUAACUAAGUUCAAGGCCUCCCUAUUUGAUCUCGCCAAAUAUUGAUAUAACUUAUGUGGGCUCAGUCCAAUUAAUCUAAUUAGGCUAAAAACCUCCCUCCCUUGAGUCCUUUAGCUCAACUUCGACGCAAUUAUAUGGGCUCAAUUAAAAUGCUCUUAAUAUUUAUAUAUAAUUUAAUUAAUUUGUUUGCUUAGGGGUCAUGAUAGAUCAUAUAUUAUGUUGAAGUCCUCUUUACUCAAAAGUAAGAAGUCAUCCCAAUUAUAUUGGCUUAAUCAAAGUGAGAUUUAUACAAGAUUAUUAAUUUAUACAUUUAUCCAUUUAGAGAUUAUUAUAUAAUUGGGGAUUUCUUUUUCUUAGAAAACCUUAAAAGUAAGAAGCCCUCUUUACUUUACUCUAUAUAUAGAUGGCAAGAUUGGCCAACGUUAAUUACAUAUUCAUGUGAUCAGUAAAGAUGAAUGUAUGAUUAUCAAACCAUCAUUUGAUGUCAUUUCAAAAGGUUAUGUUAAAAGCAUAAGAAACAAAGUGACAUUUUCUUAUAGUUUUUAAUGUGACUCUAUCUUGUUAGACUAGAAAGUAAGUAACAACUUGAGGGGCGGAUUUGCAAAUCUUCUAAAAAAAUUACAAGUUUCUAAGCACAUAGAACACAGAAGAUAUGAUUCAUCCAAUAUUGCGCUUCUAUUAUAGUUAAUUAUAAGGGUUAAGAGGCACUAAAAAUAAUUCUUUUUAGGAGAAUCCAAUAGAAAAAUUAUAAUCUUUUCAUUUUAUUUUACACGUUUAGUGUAUUACAAAAUAGGAAUAGAUAUCAAUAAGCGGCCUCGAGAGGGGAUACAUGACCGAUAGCCACAAUGCAAUUGUUCCACGUCUCAUUGCUCCUCUUGUAGACAUUAGAUUUCUUCCCCCCAAUUGGCUUGUGGCUUGAGAGGAUCAACUCCAUGAAUUGGCUAUGGCAAUUCUUCCGCACUUUCACGAGCUUGUGACAACAUUCAUCGAUAGGUGCAGAGGUGUCACCAAGGAAUAUGAUUUGAAAGAACCAAAACCCAUAAUCGUUAGUUAUUCCCUUCGUGCAAUCAGGGAUUCCAACCGUGGCGAAGGUAGUCCUAGGAAGCAAUGCGACGGUGUUGACCAAAAAGAUCAUGAGAGCAAACAAGUUCUUAAGCAUUGCCAUGAUGGUCUUUUGGGGACAAAAGGGCUAGAAAAUUGUCUGAGUGCGUUUGAUUAUUUGAUGAUGUAUUCAUGUAGAGAUGAUAACUUAUAUAUCUUGAGGGAAGUAGUGCAUUAAUAAAAUGGAUUCAUCUGUUAUGAUUCAGAAAUUUAUACAGGAAACAUCUACAAUUAUUUCUCUUGCAAUAAACUCUUCUCACUAUAAGGAUUGAGGCCCUUGUUAUGUCACCUUCUUCGUGGUUCAAUCAUUUGAAUUAAAAAAAGUAGUAAUGAGUUGUUUGAAAUAAUUUUCUGAAAUUAAAUUUGCUGAACACACACUAAACAAACUUAAAGCCGGUUCAAUCAUUAAAUAUGGGUUAGCACGAAUGAAACUAAUUCACGAGAGAGUGAAUAAAGCAUGACUAUUCCGCUGUACAGUAAAAGCAAUAAUGGCUUGAGACUUCCCAAUCUCCAAGCUAUUAAAGUUUAUCUCACAUUAGAUAAUGACCGGUUCCCAUAUGCAACGUUUAUAAGGAUCCAUUGUACGCAGUUGACAGAAAUAAUCGACGGACGAACACAGAGCAUCGAGGUACAAGGAAACGAAGAACAAUUCAUAAUAUGUUUUUCAACUAACGGACCAAUUGAAAUCUAGAGUGAAAUCUGGAGAUGAAAAUCAAUCUUCCGAGUGUCCACGCAUGUCCUUUUGGUCAGGCUGUCAUAUUGGUUUUUAAACUAACGGAACACUUGAAAUCUGGUGGUGAAAAUCAAUCUUCUGUGUCUCCACGUUUGUCCUUUUGGUCUGGCUGAGGAACUACAUCUAUAUGUGUUCUCCUUGAAAUUUCAGCACGGAUCACCGAGUAACGGAUGCAUAAUGUUAAAAAAUAUCUCGAGGAGUCCGUGAACGAAAUUUAACUCAAACUGAACUAUAAUAAAGCAUGAAGUUCAUUUUUUAGAUGCGCAACCAGCUAGUGCAGGAUUUUAAUUUUGGUAACUUGUGGACAUGAAAUAUUCCCCGGAGAAGUGGAAUCGGCUAAGGAAAAUUAAAAGGAAAAAAAAAAAAAGUCCUGAUUUCGACUUUGUUUCCUGAUUUCACUUGGCGUGGAUUUCUCACAUGUUCCAAUCUUGGACCUUUUUUCCAAAAGCGGUGGUAUAUAUAUUCAGAUCGUGGGAUUUAUGAAAAAUUGGUCGUUGAAGCGCCGUAUGAAUGCUUGAUAGUGAGUUUUCUCCGUGGAUUUUGUUCAUGGAAUCACACCAAGAUUUAUGUGUUGAAGCGGAUUGAUAAGAUUUGUUAAUUCUUCUAUGAAAUCAAGGGAUUAUUUCAUGAGAAAUGAUGAGACUAAAUAUCAUUGAAGUUAUUACGUGUAAUUGAGAGCCGGAAAACACUAAGUACUUAAGUGACUCGAACAUGGUUAUAAUCUCCAUUAUAACGCUUGAUUUGCGGUGAUAUUCGUUACUAUUCUCUCCAUGAACGUAAGUCACAUUGACCAAAUCACAUAAAUCUGGAGUUCAAUUUAUUUUCUUAUUCUGUCUAUUCUAUUGGUCAAUUGCUUGUUUCCACAACAAUUGAUAUCAAAGCCAGGCUUGGUAGAGAUGAAGUGAAUCGAUGGCUACUAUUGAAUCUGAUUUUUAACUGACGUAUCAUAUAAAAUUUAAAAUUUGAGAUUAAGAAUUUUGAUUUCGAUAGAGCCUGUUUUUCAACUAAAAAGAGUCAUUUAAUACUUUGUCCAGCAUUAGCACCACAUUUUCCUUUCAUUUUCACUUUUACCUGAAAAUUCAAAAAGUUGACUUUUAAGUUGACUUUUUAUCACUUUACCUGAUUUUUUUCUUUUAUAUUUCAGGCUCGUAAAAAUGAUGUCCAGUGUGGAUAAACCACAAUUCACCCGGUGGAGAAUGGUCAAAUUGGGGUCAUUAAGAUAUCGAGAAUAGACAAAAGAAUUAAGCCUAUGUCUUUCGACUUACAAACCAAAUCUAAGAUAGCUCGGUUUGUAACUACAACAUUGUAUUUUGUUUUUGUUUUUUUUUUUAUAUUCACCUCAUUAAGGAUAAAAAUGUUGGAACUAACAAUAUAACUUAAAGGGAG